rnacentral:rRNA from 1 species
GACGAACGCUGGCGGCGUGCCUAAUACAUGCAAGUUGAGCGCUGAAGGUUGGUACUUGUACCGACUGGAUGAGCAGCGAACGGGUGAGUAACGCGUGGGGAAUCUGCCUUUGAGCGGGGGACAACAUUUGGAAACGAAUGCUAAUACCGCAUAAAAACUUUAAACACAAGUUUUAAGUUUGAAAGAUGCAAUUGCAUCACUCAAAGAUGAUCCCGCGUUGUAUUAGCUAGUUGGUGAGGUAAAGGCUCACCAAGGCGAUGAUACAUAGCCGACCUGAGAGGGUGAUCGGCCACAUUGGGACUGAGACACGGCCCAAACUCCUACGGGAGGCAGCAGUAGGGAAUCUUCGGCAAUGGACGAAAGUCUGACCGAGCAACGCCGCGUGAGUGAAGAAGGUUUUCGGAUCGUAAAACUCUGUUGGUAGAGAAGAACGUUGGUGAGAGUGGAAAGCUCAUCAAGUGACGGUAACUACCCAGAAAGGGACGGCUAACUACGUGCCAGCCGCCGCGGAACAC